AAGGAAGAAAAUUUUCUCCUACUUGCUCUUAAAGUUUUGGCACUAAACACAUCAGAGAUUGAAAGAGAUCAGAUCUCCAAUCCUCUACCUAAGCCGAAUUCACAAAACCAAAAGGAAGAGGCAAAUAUUCAAGGUGCUAGCACACUUCCUUUGGCCGAGAAUUUCAAUGUGGGAAAUCGUAGAGGGGAGUCACUAUUGGGCAAUCCCUUGGUCACGUUUUGCUGCUAGAGAGGAGAUCAAAAAGGUUAUUUUGAUUCGUUCAUUUUGAUCUAGUCUUGCAAACAAUUCAGUAGAGGUAACUCUUGCACCUUUAAUGCCAUUGUUGUAUGCAUCGACGCUUGUUUGUUUUUAUGGCUUAAAAUUAUUUUGUUUUUCCGCUGCACCAAUAUGAUAUUAAGCUCAUAAGAAUCCCAACAGACAACUCCCUCCAUCGAGCUCUUCUUUUAGUAACCAUAGGUUUUACAUGCAGGGACAAAAUAUGAUUUUAAAUAACGGCAGUUACAUUAGUUUAUUUACAGGUUUGGAAGCCUGCCAUGGCCAUUAUGGCCGAUAAAUCACAGGAAAAAUUUGUUGUUGUAACGGCCGAUAUGGUCGUUACGCAAUGAUAACGGCCAUUACUUCUCUUUAUUUCAAAUCACUUCAGCAAUCUGCAGAGAAGUAUUUGUUCAAUCCAGCUCCAGCCUUUGUCACGUGAAAAUGCAUUAUUAAAGGGGAAAAAAGUAAAAAAAAUGAUUUCCCUACUUUUUUUUAGUCUUUUGUCUUUCUUUAUCUUUAGUCUUUACUCUUUCCAUCCAGCACUCUCUCUUGCACUUCUCCAGCACACAGAGAGUUCUUCCAUAGUUUUUUUUCUUCCAUACUUACUUCUGGUCUCCAUUUCACCUUUUCAAGUCACAAACUGCCAUAUUUCUCUUAAAUUUUUUAAGAGCAGCCUAUAUACAUAAAUUUCUACUCAAGCAUCUACCCUAGACGAUCAUUCUGGUGGUAUUAAUUGAGGUAAGUUACUAUAUAUAAUGUUUAAAAUUUAUGAAUUUUAUGUUUAUUUGAUAUAUUUGUACUUAUUAUUAAGUUAUAUAACUUAAUUUUGAUUAUAUCUUUAAAUAUCUUUUAAUUUCAUGAACUUUACAAGUUACAACUUACAAGUUUACUUUAUUAUAAAAUUAAGUUUUAUGCUUUAAGUAUAUUAAAAAUUAUUCUCUUAAAUUAAAAUGAUAGUUUCUUUAAACAACUUAAAUAAUUUUGCAUAAAGUAAAUUUAAAUUUAAGUUAAUUUGCACAUUAAUUUGAUAAUAUAUUUUUUGUUUUACAGUAUAUUAUUUGAUAAUUUGAAAAUGCCGAGAGGGGGAUUUGAUAAACCAAGUUUGGAUGGAAUUUUGCCACUCCUACAGAAAAAAGAGGAGAAAUGACAUGUAAUUUUUGUGGUAAAAAAACAUCUGGGGGAAUAACUCACUUGAAGCAACAUUUGGCAAAUAUACCAGGGCAAGUUGCUAGUUGUGAAAAAGUUUCUGCAUAAGUAAAAAAAGACAUGGGAAAUAUGUUGAGGGGUUUUGAAGCUGCAAAAAAUGAUAAAGCAAAGAGGGCAAGGGAGCUGGAAGACGAAAUCAUGAAGAUGACACUACUUCGGAUGAAGAAGAUAUUGAACUAGACGCGAAAGUAUGCGCUAGUUUGAUGAAGAUGCUUAUAGAAGGAGAGCUUCUCAUUAUGAAAGUGGUGGGAGUAGCUAUCAAGCUCCUCCUCGCCCGAGAAUUAGUCGUUCAACAACUGUUCGUGAGAGAAGUAGAGAAGUAUUAAGAUUUAUCGAGCAAAUAUCAACACCUGCUUCUAGAUUAGCAACAGCUGAAAUUGAAUUAGAAAAUAGCAAAAGUAUAAAGCUACCAAAUGGCUUAAGUCGUAGAAAGAAAAGUUGCUUAAAGCCUUUGGUAAUUUUGUUAUCCACAACAGAUUACUUUUUAGUGUGGUUGAAUCACCAUGGACAAAGCCAUUACUCAGAAUGGCCGCUGAAGUGGGACCUAAUGUAUUACUACCUUCAGCAUAUGAGAUCUUUGAAAUAUAUUUGAAAAAUGAAUACAAAAAAAUGAAGAAAUAUAUUGUUUCAUUUGAGGGCAUGUGGAAUGAGAGAGAAAUUACUAUUAUGUGUGAUGGAUGGAGCGGACCAACCAAAAUGAGUAUAAUUAAUUUUAUGGUCUACUCUCCUCGUGGAACAAUGUUCCAUAAGUCUAUAGAUGCAAGCAAUAUUAAACGAAAAGAUGGAGAAUAUUACUUCAAGAUCAUAAAAGUGGUGGUUGAAGAAAUUGGCCCAAACAAAAUUGUCCAAGUGGUGACUGCUCAUAAAAUUGCUAUUAAAUCUGGUGGCAAAAAGUUGAUGUAGAAGUUCUCAAAUUUGUAUUAUAUAACAUGCAGUGCACAUUGCAUUGAUUUAAUUUUAGAAGAUUUUGGAAAGAGGAAGAAUAUAAAGGUCGUCAUUGAGCAAGGAAAAGUUCACCCAAUUUAUUUACGAUUAUAAUUUGGUGGUGAAUUACAUAAAGAAAUUCAUUGAUGGUCGAGAUAUAAUUCAUUCCAGGAUUACCAGAUUUGCAACUAAUUUUAUUGCAUUAGAGAGUUCUCCGAUGUAGAAGGGGUUAAAAAAAUAUGUUUAAAUCUGAGCAAUGGGUAAAAAGUAAAUAUGGCUAAGUUACCAGUGGACCAGCUUAUGAAGUUAAGAAAAUUGUUCUUAGCUUGGAUAGAGAGGGAAGAAAUUUUUGGGAGAAAGCCAAGCAAAUUAUGAAAAUUCAAAAGCCAUUGCUAAAAGUACUGAGAUUAGUAAAUAGUGAUGAAAAACCAACAAUGGAAUUUAUAUAUGAAGCAAUGGAACAAGCAAAAUUGGUCAUUAAGCAAAAUUCCAGAAGUUGCAUAAACUACUGAAAAAUUAUUGAUACUCGUUGGAAUUUUCAAUUACACCAUAAUUUGCAUGCGGCUGGUAAGAAGCACGUAAACUUAAUAUUUAAUACUUUUAUAAUUUCUAUAUCUUAUAAAUUUUAAUAAUAAUUUUAUAAUUUUCAGGAUAAUUUUUGAACCCUCAAUAUCAUUAUGGUCCACAUGAUAUUAGAAAUGAUAGUAAAAUCAUGAGGGCCUUAAAAAUGUUAUUCAAAGGCUAGAGAGUGAUUUGGUAAAUCAAGGCCAUGCAUUGAACCAAGUAUAUAAUAUAUAUCUAACUUGAGCAAUUUUAAUAAACAAUUUUAGUAUUUGCAUAUAUAAUAAAGCAAAUAAUUUUUUUGGAUCCACAAGCAUACAAUGGAGAGUUUUGGGUCCGUCUUAGCACAAAAAGGCGUUAAAUUCACUGAUCCAGGUAAAAAUAUAAGAUUUACACAUUAUGUUAUAUUUUUAGUGUUCUAAAAUAUAAAAAUCAAAUAUUUUAGAAAAUAACCUAUAUUAUUAAAAUUAUUAUAUAUUUUAAUGCAGCUGAAUGUUGAAUACAUUAUGGUGAAAGUGCUCCUAAACUACAAAAAGAAUUGCAAUAAGAGUGUUGAGCCAAACAACUUCUAUUAGGGAUGUAAACGGAUAGGGUACCCGCAAAAUUGAGGGUACCCAAACCCGAACCCGAUUAUAUAUAAAAUUUCCGAACCCGUCCCAAAUCUGUUUAGUAUUUCAAUUUUAUUACCCGUACCCGUUCCAAAUCCGUUUAACAAUACCCGCAUAAUACCCGAACCCGACCAAAUCUGAUUUUUUUUUAAUUCAAUUCAAUGACAAAAAAUUUAAAGAUUUGGAGAGUUCCAGUCAAAUAGCAAACCUAUGCCCAUCCGAUUGGGGAGAGAGUUCCAGUCAAAUAGCAAACCUUUGCCCAUCCGAUUUGGAGAGUUACAGUAAUCAAAUAGCAAACCUGAAGAGAGUUCCAGUCAAAGGAGAUGUCGCCGAUGCCGAUUGGGGAGAGGCAAGGGCAGUCAGAAGAGAGAAGGAGAUGUCGCCGAUGCCGAUGCCGAUGCCGAUGCCGACCGAGGAGAGGGAAGAGUUGUCUUUAUCGUCGACUGGGGAGAGAAAGGAGACGUCGCCGGUGCCGACUGGGCUGCCGGCACUCGUCAAUGAAGUGGGGGAGAGAGGCAUUAGACUGGAAAGUGGGACUGUGGGAGAUGUGGAGAUGUCACCCACUGGAGAGAGAGGAGAAUACCAGCUUUCCUCACUCGCUGCUUUGACUUGCCUCACAUGCAGGUCGAUCCUAGUUCGUGCUUUCUCUCUUAUUGACUGGAAUCAGGCGACAAAAUGAUAUCGCUUCCCUUUCAUGAGGCGGGGACGCCGCUAGCCCCAUUGGUAACCUUAUGAACCAGAUAUCUCGGGUUCAUUAUCGGAGCACACCGACAGAUCAGGGAACGAAGGAAUUAUGGGAAGGAAAGCGGCGCCGACGGAGAGAGAGAGAAGUAUGGUAAAAUGAAAAAUGGAAUGAGGGAUUAGGGUUAGUUAUAGCUAAUCGGGUUCGGGUAACGGGUAUCCGAUCACCUAAUUCCGAACCCUACCCGAAUCCGAGACGGGUAAAAUUUUUCAAAUCCGAACCCGCCCAAAUCCGUCUUAAUAGGGUUUGGGCGGAUCGGGUACCCGUGAAAACCCACCCGCCUGACAUCCCUAACUUCUAUAUCUAAUUGUGAAAGAAAUUGAAGCACUUUUUCACUUAUACAUACAAAGACGAGGAACAGAUUACGAUAUAAAAAAUUGCAUGCACUCGUCUUUGUUCACUACAAUAUGCGGCUGAAGUUGAGGAAUUUGAGCAGAAAGAAUCAGCAUGAGCUAGAAAAGAAUUAUAAUCUAAUUAAUUUGGAUUACAUUUUCGAAAAAGAUGAUCUACUAAAUCCUUGGUUGGAGGAAAGGGAAAAUCUUGUAUUUGAUGGUGAAGAAAAUCCUUAGCUAGAGGAGUAUGAGGCUGCUCCAUCACAAUCACAAUAAGCUAAUGCUCCAACUCAUGGACAGAGAGGUGGUGAUGCUGAACUUGAAGAUUCUUUUAUACUAUCUAGUUCCAGUGAUGAUGAUGAUAAUGGUGGUGGUGGUAGUGGUCAAGGUGGAAUAAGUGAAGGUCGUAAAGCUACUAGUUUAUUACAAUCACAUCACAUGAUGAUCCCUCUUCAUAUCAGAAGCAUAAUCCAGAUCCAGAUCCAGCUCCAUCUUUGCAAUAUACAUAUCAUAGAUCCUGUGGUUCUAGUGGUAGCGGUGAUAAAGAAAAAGAUGUUACACAUGGAGAGUGUUCUAUGGAUGUAGAUAAUUAUGGACAUGGGACUUAUGGAAGAAACCUCUACUGGUAAUUAUGGAUAUGGAGGAAAUUCUCAAUAGGAUACUCAAAUCCAUAUCCAUAUCCAUAUCAACCUCCACCAUCGUAUUCUGAUUUGUUUUCAUCAGGGCAAUCAUUCUCCCACACCCAAAUCUAGUCCAAUCCUGGUGAUCAAUUUGGUAUGGGUUCAUUCUUUAACUUUGAUCCAUCACAAUAUUAUCAAUAUUAUCAAAAUCAAAACUCUCAAUCACAAGAUGAAGGUGGUAGAUCUACUCAAGAACCUGCUAGACACUCAUUCUAAUGGUAAUUGAGGUAAGUUACUACAUAUAAUAUUUAAAAUUUAU
rnacentral:lncRNA from 1 species